rnacentral:rRNA from 1 species
CCUACGGGUGGCAGCAGUGGGGAAUAUUGGGCAAUGGGCGCAAGCCUGACCCAGCAACGCCGCGUGAAGGAAGAAGGCUUUCGGGUUGUAAACUUCUUUUAUGAGGGACGAAACAAAUGACGGUACCACCUGAAUAAGCUACGGCUAACUACGUGCCAGCAGCCGCGGUAAUACGUAGGUGGCAAGCGUUAUCUGGAUUUACUGGGUGUAAAGGGCGUGUAGGCGGGACUGCAAGUCAGAUGUGAAAAUUAUGGGCUCAACCCAUAACCUGCAUUUGAUACUGUAGUUCUUGAGUGAGGGAGAGGCAGGCGGAAUUCCGGGUGUAGCGGUGAAAUGCGUAGAUAUACGGAGGAACACCAGUGGCGAAGGCGGCCUGCUGGACAUAAACUGACGCUGAGGCGCGAAAGCGUGGGGAGCAAACAGGAUUAGAUACCCCGGUAGUC